UACGGGGGGGACGAGCGUUGUUCGGAUUUACUGGGCGUAAAGGGCGCGUAGGCGGGCCUUCAAGUCAGAUGUGAAAACUCCGGGCUUAACCCGGAGCCUGCAUUUGAUACUGUUGGUCUUGAGUACAGGAGAGGAGAGUGGAAUUCCAGGUGUAGCGGUGAAAUGCGUAGAUAUCUGGAAGAACACCAGUAGCGAAGGCGGCUCUCUGGACUGAUACUGACGCUCAAGCGCGAAGGCUUGGGGAG
rnacentral:rRNA from 1 species